GAAGGGUGCAAGCGUUACUCGGAAUUACUGGGCGUAAAGCGUGCGUAGGUGGUUUGUUAAGUCUGAUGUGAAAGCCCUGGGCUCAACCUGGGAAUGGCAUUGGAUACUGGCAGGCUAGAGUGCGGUAGAGGAUGGCGGAAUUCCCGGUGUAGCAGUGAAAUGCGUAGAGAUCGGGAGGAACAUCUGUGGCGAAGGCGGCCAUCUGGACCAGCACUGACACUGAGGCACGAAAGCGUGGGGAGCAAACAGG
rnacentral:rRNA from 1 species